rnacentral:rRNA from 1 species
UACGUAGGGGGCAAGCGUUGUCCGGAUUUACUGGGCGUAAAGGGCGCGUAGGCGGACGGUUAAGUCAGAGGUGAAAGCCCAGAGCUCAACUCUGGAAUUGCCUUUGAUACUGAUUGUCUUGAGUAUGGGAGAGGUGUGCGGAACUCCGAGUGUAGAGGUGAAAUUCGUAGAUAUUCGGAAGAACACCAGUGGCGAAGGCGGCACACUGGCCCAUUACUGACGCUGAGGCUCGAAAGCGUGGGGAGCAAACAGG